CCUACGGGAGGCAGCAGUGGGGAAUAUUGGACAAUGGGCGAAAGCCUGAUCCAGCAACGCCGCGUGAGGGAUGACGGCCUUCGGGUUGUAAACCUCUUUCAGUAGGGACGAAGCGAAAGUGACGGUACCUACAGAAGAAGGACCGGCCAACUACGUGCCAGCAGCCGCGGUAAUACGUAGGGUCCGAGCGUUGUCCGGAAUUAUUGGGCGUAAAGGGCUCGUAGGCGGUCUGUUACGUCGGGAGUGAAAACUCAGGGCUCAACCCUGAGCGUGCUUCCGAUACGGGCAGACUAGAGGUAUUCAGGGGAGAACGGAAUUCCUGGUGUAGCGGUGGAAUGCGCAGAUAUCAGGAGGAACACCGGUGGCGAAGGCGGUUCUCUGGGAAUUACCUGACGCUGAGGAGCGAAAGCAUGGGGAGCGAACAGGAUUAGAUACCCUGGUAGUCCAUGCCGUAAACGUUGGGCGCUAGGUGUGGGGACCUUCCACGGUCUCCGUGCCGCAGCUAACGCAUUAAGCGCCCCGCCUGGGGAUACGGCCGCAAGGCUAAAACUCAAAGAUAGUAGCGNGNGAGNGCGACGACGACGACGACGGAGGAGAG
rnacentral:rRNA from 1 species